AGUAACGGCGAGUGAACAGGGAAAAGCCCAAAUUUGUAAUCUGGCACUUUUUACAAGUGUCCGAGUUGUAAUUUGUAGAGCUGCUAUCCGUACUGGACCAUGUACAAGUCUGUUGAAAAGCAGCAUCAUUGAAGGUGAAAAUCCUGUAGAUGAUAUGGACUACCAGUAUAUUUGUGAUGCGGUUUCUAAGAGUCGAGUUGUUUGGGAAUGCAGCUCAAAGUGGGUGGUAAAUUCCAUCUAAGGCUAAAUAUGAAUGAAAGACCGAUAGCAUACAAGUACCGUGAGGGAAAGAUGAAAAGAACUUUGAAAAUAGAGUUAACAGUACGUGAAAUUGCUGAAAGGGAAACGUUUGAAGUUAGUUUUGUAUUCGUUGGAUCAGCUUCGCAAGGAGUGUAUUCCGAUGAUAGGCAAGUCAACAUCAAUCUAUGAGUGUUGGAUAAGGGUUUUGAGAACGUAGCAAUUCAGUUGUGUUAUAGCUCGAGACUUGGAUACRAUGCUUUGGAUUGAGGAACGCGUAGUAAGCUUUGAGCGGAUUCGAAAGGAUCUCCUUACUAUGGAUGUUGGUGAAAUAACUUUAAGCGACCCGUCUU
rnacentral:rRNA from 2 species